AACACUUCUACUCCGAAAAUAAACCAUCACGCUCUUAAAUUUGACUCCACUUGACAUUCCCGAGGAAGGAAGACAAAAUUACUGCGCCCCAGACGAAGCCUGAAAAUGACGCACUCUUUUUCGUCAUCAUCUUCUUCCACUUUCAAAAUUGAGCAAUGAAACCUCGAGAUAACCCGUGAAAGAGAGCUGUAUUCGAGAAGCAAAGCUUUACCAUUCAAAAGCCCC
rnacentral:lncRNA from 1 species